AGUUAAAAAGCCAAUUGGGUGAGCUAUGCAUGUAGAAGUUAGGCUGAAGGAUUAGCGGACGCGGGUUCAAUUCCCGCCGCCUCCACCA
rnacentral:tmRNA from 1 species